UACGGGAGUGGCAAGCGUUAUCCGGAAUUAUUGGGCGUAAAGCGUCCGCAGGCGGUCUUGUAAGUCUGUUGUUAAAGCGUGGAGCUUAACUCCAUUUCAGCAAUGGAGACUGUAAGACUAGAGUGUGGUAGGGGCAGAGGGAAUUCCCGGUGUAGCGGUGAAAUGCGUAGAUAUCGGGAAGAACACCAGUGGCGAAGGCGCUCUGCUGGGCCAUAACUGACGCUCAUGGACGAAAGCCAGGGGAGCGAAAGGGAUUAGAUACCCCUGUAGUCCUGGCCGUAAACGAUGAACACUAGGUGUCGGGGGAAUCGACCCCCUCGGUGUCGUAGCCAACGCGUUAAGUGUUCCGCCUGGGGAGUACGCACGCAAGUGUGAAACUCAAAGGAAUUGACGGGGGCCCGCACAAGCGGUGGAGUAUGUGGUUUAAUUCGAUGCAACGCGAAGAACCUUACCAGGGUUUGACAUCCUGCGAAUCUCUUGGAAACGAGAGAGUGCCUUCGGGAACGCAGUGACAGGUGGUGCAUGGCUGUCGUCAGCUCGUGUCGUGAGAUGUUGGGUUAAGUCCCGCAACGAGCGCAACCCACGUCGUUAGUUGCCAGCAUUUAGUUGGGCACUCUAGCGAGACCGCCGGUGAUAAACCGGAGGAAGGUGUGGAUGACGUCAAGUCAUCAUGCCCCUUACAUCCUGGGCUACACACGUACUACAAUGCUACGGACAAAGGGCAGCAAACUCGCGAGAGCUAGCAAAUCCCAUAAACCGUGGCUCAGUUCAGAUCGUAGGCUGCAACUCGCCUACGUGAAGGAGGAAUCGCUAGUAAUCGCAGGUCAGCAUACUGCGGUGAAUACGUUCCCGGGCCU
rnacentral:rRNA from 1 species